GCUGGGCAUGGUGGUGCGGGCCUGUAAUCCCAGCUGCUCAGGAGGCUGAGGCAGAAGGAUGGAUAGUUCAAAGCCAGCCUCAG
rnacentral:sRNA from 1 species